rnacentral:rRNA from 1 species
CCUACGGGAGGCAGCAGUGAGGAAUAUUGGUCAAUGGGCGGAAGCCUGAACCAGCCAAGUAGCGUGCAGGAUGACGGCCCUACGGGUUGUAAACUGCUUUUAUACGGGAAUAACGCGCCUUACGUGUAGGUCUUUGCAUGUACCGUAUGAAUAAGGACCGGCUAAUUCCGUGCCAGCAGCCGCGGUAAUACGGAAGGUCCGGGCGUUAUCCGGAUUUAUUGGGUUUAAAGGGAGCGUAGGCCGCUUUUCAAGCGUGCUGUGAAAUGUCCUGGCUCAACCCGGGCCUUGCCGCGGAAACUGGCGUGCUUGAGUCCGUGGAAGGCAGGCGGAAUUCGUCGUGUAGCGGUGAAAUGCUUAGAUAUGACGAAGAACCCCGAUUGCGAAGGCAGCUUGCUGCAGCGGAACUGACGCUGAUGCUCGAAAGCGCGGGUAUCGAACAGGAUUAGAUACCCUUGUAGUC